UCCUACGGGAGGCAGCAGUGAGGAAUAUUGGUCAAUGGGCGAGAGCCUGAGCCAGCCAAGUCGCGUGAGGGAUGACUGCCCUAUGGGUUGUAAACCUCUUUUGUAUGGGGGGAAUAAGCUUUACGAGUAGAGUGAUGACAGUACCAUACGAAUAAGCAUCGGCUAACUCCGUGCCAGCAGCCGCGGUAAUACGGAGGAUCCAAGCGUUAUCCGGAUUUAUUGGGUUUAAAGGGUGCGUAGGCGGAUUGAUAAGUUAGAGGUGAAAUGUCCGGGCUCAACUCGGGAACUGCCUCUAAUACUGUUGA
rnacentral:rRNA from 1 species